rnacentral:rRNA from 1 species
GGAUGGCGCUGAAGCGGGUGGCCGACACCACACCGUGUGACUGAGUUUUACAUUUCACAUGAGUAGGAGGGCGUGGCGGGCGUGGAGAAGCGUGGGCGCGAGCCUGCGUCGAACGGUCCGCUAGUGCAGAUCUUGGUGGUAGUAGCAAGUAUUCAAGCGAGAACCUUGAAGGGCGAAGCGGGGAAGGGUUCCAUGCGAACACUGAUUGGGCAUGGGUGAGUCGUUCCUAAGCCGAGUGGCAAUUGCUAAGUGACGAAUUUUUUUGUGUGGCGAAAGGGAAGCGGGUUGAAAUUCCCGCACACGGAUGUGGARAGCGGUGACGCGAGAUGAGGCGAACACGCUGGCGACGGCGCUGGGCAGAGUUGUCUUUUCUGUUUGACCGAGUGUGUGGGCUGUGUGGAAUCCGCUUGUGGGGAGAAACACGCUUGCACGGGCAGAGCGCCGGGGCUUUUCCGGCGUCCAGCUCGCCGUCGACGGCCCUUGAAACUUCGCCUACUUUGAAUUUUCGGAUUCAGAAAUCCACGCCGUGGCGUACCGAUAUCCGCAUCAGGUCCCCGA